CCUACGGGAGGCAGCAGUGGGGAAUAUUGCUCAAUGGGGGAAACCCUGAUGCAGCGACGCCGCGUGAGUGAAGAAGUAUUUCGGUAUGUUAAGCUCUAUCUGCCGGGAAGCAAAUGCCGGUUCCUGAUUAAGAAGCCCCGGCUAUAUACGUGCCAGCAGCCGCGGUACAACGUAGGGGGCCAGCGUUAUCCGGAAUUUCUGGGGGUUAAGGGAGCGUAGUCGGCAGCACAAGUCUGGAGUGAAAAGCCGGGGCUUAACCCCGGAACUUCCUUUGAAACUGUGCAGCUAGAGUGAGGGAGAGGUAAGCGGAAUGCGUAGUGUAGCGGUGAAAUGCGUAGAUAUGAGGAGGAACACCAGUGGCGAAGGCAGCAUACUGG
rnacentral:rRNA from 1 species